GGAAGUUAAGAAACUGUUUCUUAACUUUAAACUAAAAAAGCUAAGAACCGGUUCUUAAAUAAGGACUUUAAGAACCGGUUCUUAGUUUUUUUAGUUAAAAGUUAAGAAACAGUUUAUUAACUUCC
rfam:Brassica oleracea var. oleracea cultivar TO1000 chromosome C3, whole genome shotgun sequence